GAUGAACGCUGGCGGCGUGCCUAAUACAUGCAAGUCGAGCGAACAGACGAGGAGCUUGCUCCUCUGACGUUAGCGGCGGACGGGUGAGUAACACGUGGAUAACCUACCUAUAGGACUGGGAUAACUUCGGGAAACCGGAGCUAAUGCCGGAUAAUAUAUUGAACCGCAUGGUUCAAUAGUGAAAGACGGUUUUGCUGUCACUUAUAGAUGGAUCCGCGCCGCAUUAGCUAGUUGGUAAGGUAACGGCUUACCAAGGCAACGAUGCGUAGCCGACCUGAGAGGGUGAUCGGCCACACUGGAACUGAGACACGGUCCAGACUCCUACGGGAGGCAGCAGUAGGGAAUCUUCCGCAAUGGGCGAAAGCUUGACGGAGCAACGCCGCGUGAGUGAUGAAGGUCUUCGGAUCGUAAAACUCUGUUAUUAGGGAAGAACAAAUGUGUAAGUAACUAUGCACGUCUUGACGGUACCUAAUCAGAAAGCCACGGCUAACUACGUG
rnacentral:rRNA from 1 species